rnacentral:rRNA from 1 species
AGGAUCAUUAACGCUACUGAGACUCAACUACUGAGACUCUACCCAGAUGGUGGUAGGCAUUGAACGUGAGGGACGAGACCGCCCGCCUUAGGGCGGGUGGCACGCUUCGCACGCCGUCGGCACCUCUGCCGGCCAGCGGGCGUUUCAGAACGCUCCGCGUGGCGUGACGGGCGUAAGAGCUCCCGAACUCGAACGACUUUAAGCCGGUCUCGGCUGCGGCAGACCGUGGUACCAGUCAGGUUUGAAGGCCCCUAGCGGGGCCGCCAACGGUCGCGCCGCUGAUUCGAGCGGCACCUAGAACGACUAGGCGAGGCCCUGCGGCGGUGGGGUGCGGUCUGGCGUGACCUCCCCAGUGGUCGCACGUCGCGUGCCCACUGCCUGCUUCGCGGUAAAGCACGGACCUGUCCGAUGCUGCCACGUGGAUGGCGAAUAAAACACACAACCCUGAACGGUGGAUCACUUGGCUCGUGGGUCGAUGAAGAACGCAGCAAAUUGCGCGUCGACAUGUGAACUGCAGGACACAUGAACAUCGACGUUUCGAACGCACAUUGCGGUCCUUGGAUUUCCAAUCCCGGACCACGCCUGGCUGAGGGUCGGCCUUCUGAAACCACUGGGCCCGCCGCGUAAGGCUGCGGGCCCGAAGAUGAGGGCACGCGCGCUCGUCCUACCCGGGCGUGUCGCGCGACGCUCUUGAAGAUAAAAAUCGCGCUGUAGUGGCGGAACCGCGCUCUCCGGCGCCCGGUUUGAGAGGGGCAAGUCCCGCAUUUUGAACGACACAGAAGCCGGGCGCGAGAGAAACCGAGAGAGAUCUCGGUAAGCGAGGGCACUAGCGGUAUUCCGACGCACAGGCGCCCCACACACUACAUCCGACCUCAGAUCAGGCGAGACUACCCGCUGAAUUAAGCAUAUUACUAGGC